AUGGCUCAGAACGAACGCUGGCGGCGCGUUUAAGCAUGCAAGUCGAGCGGUAAGCCGGAGCAAUCCGGCCUAGAGCGGCGGACGGGUGAGUAACACGUGGAUAAUCUGGCCUACAGUUGGGAUAGCCUGGUGAAAGCCAGGAUAAUACCGGAUACGACGGUUUGGUCACAAGACCGAAUCGGGAAAGGGGCUAAGGCCUCGCUGAAGGAUGAGUCCGCGUCCCAUUAGCUAGAUGGUGAGGUAAAGGCCCACCAUGGCGAUGAUGGGUAGCCGGCCUAAGAGGGUGAACGGCCACAUUGGGACUGAGAUACGGCCCAGACUCCUACGGGAGGCAGCAGCUAAGAAUCUUCCGCAAUGGUCGAAAGACUGACGGAGCGACGCCGCGUGAAUGAUGAAGGCCCGUGAGGUUGUAAAGUUCUUUUCUGGAGGGAGAAUAAGUGAUGUAGGGAAUGACAUCAUGAUGACGUGAAUCCAGGAAUAAGCCCCGGCUAACUACGUGCCAGCCGCUGC
rnacentral:rRNA from 1 species